AAUGAACUUUUAUAAAAGAAUCAACCUUGAGCUUUUUAAGUUUGCUCUUCUCUGUGCAUUUCCGAUAUUUAGUUUAUACUAUGCUGGCUCGCCAAGCUUUGCAAAUAAAGCGAAAUUGUGGGCAAAGGAAGUUCUUUCUACAGAAAACACUUACAAAAUUCCUUUUGACAAAGAAGGCAUGCAAAAAAUUAUAGACGAAAAAUUAGAGGAAAAAAAGAAGAGGC